AUUGAACGCUGGCGGCAUGCUUUACACAUGCAAGUCGAACGGUAACAGGCCUUCGGGUGCUGACGAGUGGCGAACGGGUGAGUAAUGCAUCGGAACGUACCCAGAGGUGGGGGAUAACGCAGCGAAAGCUGUGCUAAUACCGCAUGUGAUCUGAGGAUGAAAGCGGGGGACCGAGCAGCAAUGUUUGGCCUCGCGCCUUUGGAGCGGCCGAUGUCGGAUUAGCUAGUUGGUGGGGUAAAGGCCUACCAAGGCGACGAUCCGUAGCUGGUCUGAGAGGACGACCAGCCACACUGGGACUGAGACGCGGCCCUGACUCCUACGGGAGGCAGCGGUGGGGAAUUUUGGACAAUGGGCGCAAGCCUGAUCCAGCAAUGCCGCGUGCGGGAAGAAGGCCUUCGGGUUGUAAACCGCUUUUGGCAGGAACGAAACGGUGUCCGCUAAUACCGGGCGCUAAUGACGGUACCUGCAGAAUAAGCACCGGCUAACUACGUG
rnacentral:rRNA from 1 species